rnacentral:rRNA from 1 species
UACGUAGGUGGCGAGCGUUGUCCGGAUUUACUGGGCGUAAAGGGAGCGUAGGCGGACUUUUAAGUGAGAUGUGAAAUACCCGGGCUCAACUUGGGUGCUGCAUUUCAAACUGGAAGUCUAGAGUGCAGGAGAGGAGAAUGGAAUUCCUAGUGUAGCGGUGAAAUGCGUAGAGAUUAGGAAGAACACCAGUGGCGAAGGCGAUUCUCCGGACUGUAACUGACGCUGAGGCUCGAAAGCGUGGGGAGCAAACAGGAUUAGAUACCCUGGUA